AUGAGAACAUGCCCCCUGGGUAGAUCUCCCACCCUCUGUCUACAGUACCUCUGUUGCUUUGGCAGGCCCGCGUCUGCGCCGCCGGCUCCGGCUGGUCAGCGCCUGCCAGAGGCCUUACAACUCUUGUUAUCCAUGCCGUCUGAGUAUCAUACAAUAGUUA
rnacentral:misc_RNA from 1 species